rnacentral:misc_RNA from 1 species
UUUCCGUAGGUGAACCUGCGGAAGGAUCAUUACAGAGUUCAUGCCCUCACGGGUAGAUCUCCCACCCUUGAAUAUUUAUACCUUAGUUGCUUUGGCAGGCCGUGGAAACACCAUGGGCUCCGGCUUAUGCGUGCCUGCCAGAGGAAACAAACUCUGUUUUUAGUGAUUUCUGAGUACUAUAUAAUAGUUAAAACUUUCAACAACGGAUCUCUUGGUUCUG